rnacentral:rRNA from 1 species
AUUGAACGCUGGCGGCAGGCCUAACACAUGCAAGUCGAGCGGUAGAGAGGUGCUUGCAUCUCUUGAGAGCGGCGGACGGGUGAGUAAUGCCUAGGAAUCUGCCUAGUGGUGGGGGAUAACGUUCGGAAACGGACGCUAAUACCGCAUACGUCCUACGGGAGAAAGCGGGGGAUCUUCGGACCUCGCGCCAUUAGAUGAGCCUAGGUCGGAUUAGCUAGUUGGUGAGGUAAAGGCUCACCAAGGCGACGAUCUUUAGCUGGUCUGAGAGGAUGAUCAGCCACACUGGGACUGAGACACGGCCCAGACUCCUACGGGAGGCAGCAGUGGGGAAUAUUGGACAAUGGGCGAAAGCCUGAUCCAGCAAUGCCGCGUGAGUGAUGAAGGCCUUAGGUUGUAAAGCUCUUUACCAGGGAUGAUAAUGACAGUACCUGGAGAAUAAGCUCCGGCUAACUCCGUGCCAGCAGCCGCGGUAAAGUG